rnacentral:rRNA from 1 species
AACGAACGCUGGCGGCAGGCUUAACACAUGCAAGUCGAGCGCGCCGCAAGGGGAGCGGCAGACGGGUGAGUAACGCGUGGGAAUCUACCCAUCUCUACGGAAUAACGCAUGGAAACGUGUGCUAAUACCGUAUACGUCCUUCGGGAGAAAGAUUUAUCGGAGAUGGAUGAGCCCGCGUUGGAUUAGCUAGUUGGUGGGGUAAAGGCCUACCAAGGCGACGAUCCAUAGCUGGUCUGAGAGGAUGAUCAGCCACACUGGGACUGAGACACGGCCCAGACUCCUACGGGAGGCAGCAGUGGGGAAUAUUGGACAAUGGGCGCAAGCCUGAUCCAGCCAUGCCGCGUGAGUGAUGAAGGCCCUAGGGUUGUAAAGCUCUUUCACCGGUGAAGAUAAUGACGGUAACCGGAGAAGAAGCCCCGGCUAACUCUGUGCCAGCCGCCGCGGUAACAC